rnacentral:lncRNA from 1 species
AUGUUCCAUAUCAAGGACGAUGAAAUCUACUGAAAAAUAGAAUUUGUCUACUUUGACAAGAACAUCUUCAAUUAUCCCAUGUGGUGUUUUUACAGAUCGAUCAGCCAAUUGAAGGGAUACCGAGGUUGGUUUUAACUCACCUAACCCAAGUUUCUCAUAAACUGAGUAAGAUAAAAGGUUGACACUUGCCCCUUGUUGCCCAGAUAGACAACCCAAGAGGGGGGGUGAAUUGGAUUUUAAAAUAAUUUAGAUAAUUAAAACGAUGUGGUUGAUUAAUUAAAAACUAUUGCAAGUUAUUUAAUUAAUGCUAAGUGCUGUGAGUGAUGUGAGGGGAAGAAGAAGAGAGACAAUCCA